GCAGGCAAGAAGACCACUGCUCGACCUUGCAGCUCCCAAGGCAGCAAUGAUGAUUCAAUCCAUGACACCAUCUCUGGCACAUUAGAUGAAAUGUGUGGUACAUCAUUUGCUGGAAUGAGUGGUGAAGCAACUAGUCAUCCACGUCAGCACGAAAAUGUUGCCUCCACAACAGAGUUUCAGAAGCAGGUCCUGCAACUUUUACACCUGGUGCGACUGACACAACAAAGGGACAGUGCUGUACUCCAUGAACUUUGCGCACAGAGGAUCACUAGUACGGCUGCGAAACCACUAGGAGCACUAAUAAAACAGCCAUUUGCAUCUUCCGAAGACUUCGAGCAGUUUGAUUCAU